rnacentral:rRNA from 1 species
UACGUAGGGGGCUAGCGUUGUCCGGAAUCAUUGGGCGUAAAGCGCGUGUAGGCGGCCCGGUAAGUCCGGCUGUAAAGUCGGGGGGCUCAACCCUCGGAUGCCGGUGGAUACUGUCGGGCUUGAGUGCGGAAGAGGCGAGUGGAAUUCCUGGUGUAGCGGUGAAAUGCGCAGAUAUCAGGAGGAACACCAAUGCGAAGGCAGCUCGCU